rnacentral:lncRNA from 1 species
ACCAGCACUACAAAAUAUUCUUGUAAAAAUAUUCCAUGAAGAGGAAACAAAAAAACAACAAUGAAAAUCAGCAGAGGGAAGUAGUAACUUAAAGGAAAAACUAAUCAAAGAAGAAAAUCAAGUCAAGUUAAAUGACAAAAAUAAACAAAUAUGGCUUGGAAUACAAACCAUGUCUUAAUAAUAACCCUGAAUGUUAAUGGCUUAAACUCACCAAUCAAAAGACAUAGAUUGGAUUAAAAAAAUAUCCAAUAAUAUGUUGUCUCCAGGAGACUCAUCUGAUAGGAAAAGACAUACACAGACUGAAGGUGAAAGGUUGGGAAAAACCAUACCACUCACAUGAACUGUGGAAGCAGGCAAGGGUUUCCAUACUCAUAUCAAAUAAGGUAGACCUUAAGCCAAAGUUAAUCAAAAGGGAUUAAGAUGGUCAUUACAUACUGCUCAAGGGAACCAUACACCAACAAGACAUAACAAUCAUAAAUAUAUAUGCCCCAAACAAUGGAGCAGCUAUGUUCAUCAAACAAAUUAUUCUCAAGUUCAAGAAUCAAAUUGACCACAAUACAAUAAUCUUGGGUGACUUAAACACAC